AUACGUAGGUGGCAAGCGUUGUCCGGAAUUAUUGGGCGUAAAGCGCGCGCAGGUGGUUCCUUAAGUCUGAUGUGAAAGCCCCCGGCUCAACCGGGGAGGGUCAUUGGAAACUGGGGAACUUGAGUGCAGAAGAGGAUAGUGGAAUUCCAAGUGUAGCGGUGAAAUGCGUAGAGAUUUGGAGGAACACCAGUGGCGAAGGCGACUGCCUGGUCUGUAACUGACACUGAGGCGCGAAAGCGGGGGGAGCAAACAGGAUUAGAUACCCUGUUAGUCCACGCCGUAAACGAUGAGUGCUAAGUGUUGGGGGGUUUCCGCCCCUCAGUGCUGCAGCUAACGCAUUAAGCACUCCGCCUGGGGAGUACGGUCGCAAGACUGAAACUCAAAUGAAUUGACGGGU
rnacentral:rRNA from 1 species